AUGAAAAAGGGUCCAACCCAACACCGUACGUCCAAGUAUAAAAAGGCAUAUCUAGCGAAACCCUAAAAUCAGAUCCAGAAAAAUCCCAAUUCUCGCCGAAUCAUGGUAUCGUCCGAGGUGAUCUAUGCUCUCGCAAACCCCGUUUUGGGAGUCCUGCUUGUUGGAUACUUUGCAAAGGCCACACCUAUCGCUGAAGACAUGCUAAAAGACUGGAAACGUAGCAACGAGAUCAUACUGGAAUCUUGCAGGGAGCAGAUGAGAGAAAGAGGCUUGGGUGACUCUAAGAUUCCGAAAUGAACCCGUCGUAAUGUGAAUUCGUGGGAGACUACUUUUGGCUUUAUGUAAUAAUAACUACUUCUAAGCUCAGUACGUCUCUCGUCUUAGUUUAGACGGUUCUGUUCUGUACCUUAAUUUAAUGGGAAGGCCUUGUAAGAGAGUGAACGUGUCUUGAUAUGUAUCAAAAAUCUCUUUAUGUUAUCUGAUUUGUUUGGUUGAAUAAUGUGUUUUUGAUGUU